AUCUGGUUUGGUUUGGUUUUGGUUUUUUUAUAAAUAUUCUUAUCUUCGGGCACGUUGUCCGAAGCCCCCCCGAAUUCGCUGCCCAACCCCCGUCCACCGCUUGUCGCGUCAAUCCUGUCAACGUGUUCGCCGAGGGAGAAAAGAAAUAAACCAGGGCAAAAGAGCUAGAGGGAGGAGAAAAACGAAAGAGAAAAAAAGAACCAAUAAAUAGCCUGCCCACUCAGCCCUCAACUGCCAGUCCUCCCCUUUGCAACGUUGGCUUUUUUCUCAGGUUGAACAGGAACACCCGCCAAACACCAACACCACCUGGCCUGCGUCUGUAUUAUAUUCCCCCCUCCCAUCCGCAUUGUUUGAUUUCCAUGCUUCAAGAUUCCGGGGUAUAUUCAGAGCAGCAAGCGGGUGCUUGCUGCCACAGACGACACGGAAAGCUUAGAUCUGUCCGCGGAUUCGACCAACCCUGUCUUCCGUUUAACAGCUGUUAACGGACAGAGCCAGACAACCCCAGUCGGAGACCUUCCCAUCGCGACAAUACCAUCUCUGAGGCGUUCAGUGACUCCAGGGGCUUCAGGCCUCCAGGCUGCUCCCUCGCUCGGAUUGCCGCCCUCCCGAAUCCCCUCCCCGGCUCCUAGCAACUACGGUGCCGCCAGCAGUUUGGUCUCUCUUCCAUCGUUACCCAAGUACCACGCUGAAUCUGAUUCCCUCUCCUCAUCUCCGGAACACAGGAAAACUGAUAGCAGCGUUUACUACACUACGGUCUGGGGCUCACCGUAUGCGACUCCGAGUCCCAAGCGAUAUCCCUCGUCUUUUCUGAGAAAUCGUCGACGGGAAGGAAGUUAUAGCAAUAACACUAACAGCGAGGAAGAUUCUCCUUCGUCUACGAAAAGUACCCAUUCUAAUUCAAGAAAGAGAAGUGGUAGUAAUCACAAAGGUUCCGUAAAACCGUCCUCCUCGCGCGUCUCAAGGCGCUUCUACGGCUCCAUCGGCCGAGGCGCGGCAAGGGGCCGACAGGGGAAUCCUAUCAAGGAUUUUACGGAAGAGUGGAUCAAUCAGUAUCUGUCCGGACAGCCGCG
rnacentral:sRNA from 2 species